GAGACAGCAGUCGCCACGGUAAUUCGUAGGUGGCAAGCGUUGUCCGGAAUUAUUGGGCGUAAAGGGCGCGUAGGCGGACUGAUAAGUCAGGGGUGAAAUCCCAAGGCUCAACCUUGGAACUGCCUUUGAUACUGUUUGUCUUGAGUUCGAGAGAGGUAAGUGGAACUGCGAAUGUAGAGGUGAAAUUCGUAGAUAUUCGCAAGAACACCAGUGGCGAAGGCGGCUUACUGGCUCGAAACUGACGCUGAGGCGCGAAAGCGUGGGGAGCAAACAGGAUUAGAUACCCCCGUAGUCCCUGUCUCUUAUAC
rnacentral:rRNA from 1 species